CAUAUGUGCAUUUCUCAGAUGCACCAUUAGGGAGAUUGAAAUACCUUCAAAAUGCCCAAAAGGGCACUACUCCUCCACCAUCCAAGGCAAUACAUACCCUGUCUAUCUAUCGGUUUUGGCUCUGCACUGUGAGCCGAAGUCCACAAGUGUCCACUAAACAGAAAAUAAACUUCCUUGAUGGAAAACCAAGAACUGAAGCUAUACUACAUUUGAAAACUAAAAGAUGAAAGACACUGAUUCUCUGCUUCCUUAUUUCUCAUUCUGUUUACUGAGCCUCUGAACCAUGAGUGAACGACCCUUUGUACUUUGCUUCUAUAAACAUUCUCAAUAUAACUUCCACAACUUCAUGAAGUAGUGACACUCUCAUUUUAAAGACGAGAAAACAGAGUCCUAGAAACUUAUCUUUAACAUAGUUAAUAUUUUCAUCUUAUAUCUCACCUGUAUUUUAUAGCUAAAGUAUCUCUCCACCAAAGACUCCAUCUUCAUUUUGCAUAUGACACCUUUCUAACAGCCACACCCUCGACACCUCGCCACCAAAGCAGUCGGUGGAUUUUGAGACCUCUCACUCUUAGUUUUUGACUCGGUUCUUUGGAAUUAUGCAUUUGAGCAUGCUGUCCCCUGAGUUUGCUGCUAGGACACUUUGUUCAUACACUGACGGUGUCAACUGGCUGAACUUCCCUAGAACAGUGAUUUUCCAGUCCCAGUUGCACCUGAGAAUCACCCAGGAGCAUUAAAACUCUGCCUGGGCCCCAGUCCAGAGGUAACGAUUUGAUUCACCAGAAUGUGCAGCCUGAGCAUUGAAAUUUUUUCAAAUCUCUCCCAGAGAUUCAAAGAUGGAGGCAAGAUAAGGACCACUGAUACGAAGUUGGCUCACACUUUGGAAGGAAUUUACAGGGAAUUCCUGGACUGGAAGCAAUGGAAAAAGGGAAAUUCUAAUGUAGACUACCGGGUUCUGCUUUUGCCCCAAGGUAUCGACCAGGGGAAGCUGAGGCCCCCCGCCUCACUGUAAGAAUCACGGAAAAGAAGCGCAGCUAAAUAUGCUAAAUGUUUCCCAGCUAUGUUGAUCCAGAUAUUCCUGUGGUCCUUUCUAUUAUAAGAGUGUAAUUUUAAAAGAUUUACACUGUUGCCUUAUUUAAUGUUCCCAUUUAAGCCUACUUAAAAGAAGUGUCUUCAUUUUCUGAAAUCACUGUUUCUAUUCCUCUUUUUCCUCUCCUUUACUUCAGCUUAAUAUACAAUGUUAUGCUUUUGUUUUAAGCUUUCACUUAAUUGUUCACAACUUCUUUUAGCUCGGAAGAGCUCAC